CCUACGGGGGGCUGCAGUAGGGAAUAUUGGACAAUGGGCGAAAGCCUGAUCCAGCCAUGCCGCGUGAUAGAUGAAGGCCCUCUGGGUUGUAAAUAUCUUUUAUCUGGGAAGAAACAAUCUUAUUCUUAAGAUCUUGACGGUACCAGAGGAAUAAGCACCGGCUAACUCCGUGCCAGCAGCCGCGGUAAUACGGAGGGUGCAAGCGUUAUCCGGAUUCACGGGGUUUAAAGGGUGCGUAGGAGGGCUGGGUGAAAGCUCCUAGCUUAACUUGGAAACUGCCAUUGAUAAUGCCAGUCGUGAAUGUCGUAGAGGUAAGCGGAAUGUUGCAUGUAGCGGUGAAAUGCUUAGAUAUGUUACAGAACACCAAUUGCGAAGGCAGCUUACUAUGCGAUGAUUGACGCUGAGGCACGAAAGCGUGGGGAGCAAACAGGAUUAGAUACCCUUGUAGUC
rnacentral:rRNA from 1 species